rnacentral:misc_RNA from 1 species
GAUGAAGAACGUAGCGAAAUGCGAUACUUGGUGUGAAUUGCAGAAUCCCGUGAACCAUCGAGUCUUUGAACGCAAGUUGCGCCCGAAGCCACUAGGCCGAGGGCACGCCUGCCUGGGCGUCACACGCCGUUGCCCCCCCAUCUACUCCUUCGGGAUUGCGGGGGGGCGGAUGAUGGCCUCCCGUGCGCCUAGCCGCGCGGUUGGCAUAAAUACCAAGUCCUCGGCGACGCACGCCACGACAAUCGGUGGUUGCGAAACCUCGGUUGCCCGUCGUGUGCGUUCGUCGCGCAUCGAGGGCUCGAAAAAAUGCUCGGCUCCGGCUGGGCUUUCAAAGCGACCCCAGGUCAGGCGGGGUUACCCGCUGAAUUUAAGCAUAUCAAUAAGCGGAGGA